rnacentral:rRNA from 1 species
GACGAACGCUGGCGGCGUGCUUAACACAUGCAAGUCGAACGGAAAGGCCCUGCUUUUGUGGGGUGCUCGAGUGGCGAACGGGUGAGUAACACGUGAGUAACCUGCCCUUGACUUUGGGAUAACUUCAGGAAACUGGGGCUAAUACCGGAUAGGAGCUCCUGCUGCAUGGUGGGGGUUGGAAAGUUUCGGCGGUUGGGGAUGGACUCGCGGCUUAUCAGCUUGUUGGUGGGGUAGUGGCUUACCAAGGCUUUGACGGGUAGCCGGCCUGAGAGGGUGACCGGCCACAUUGGGACUGAGAUACGGCCCAGACUCCUACGGGAGGCAGCAGUGGGGAAUAUUGCACAAUGGGCGGAAGCCUGAUGCAGCAACGCCGCGUGCGGGAUGACGGCCUUCGGGUUGUAAACCGCUUUCGCCUGUGACGAAGCGUGAGUGACGGUAAUGGGUAAAGAAGCACCGGCUAACUACGUGCCAGCAGCCGCGGUGAUACGUAGGGUGCGAGCGUUGUCCCGAUUUAUUGGGCGUAAAGGGCUCGUAGGUGGUUGAUCGCGUCGGAAGUGUAAUCUUGGGGCUUAACCCUGAGCGUGCUUUCGAUACGGGUUGACUUGAGGAAGGUAGGGGAGAAUGGAAUUCCUGGUGGAGCGGUGGAAUGCGCAGAUAUCAGGAGGAACACCAGUGGCGAAGGCGGUUCUCUGGGCCUUUCCUGACGCUGAGGAGCGAAAGCGUGGGGAGCGAACAGGCUUAGAUACCCUGGUAGUCCACGCUGUAAACGGUGGGUACUAGGUGUGGGGUCCAUUCCACGGGUUCCGUGCCGUAGCUAACGCUUUAAGUACCCCGCCUGGGGAGUACGGCCGCAAGGCUAAAACUCAAAGGAAUUGACGGGGCCCCGCACAAGCGGCGGAGCAUGCGGAUUAAUUCGAUGCAACGCGUAGAACCUUACCUGGGUUUGACAUGGAUCGGGAGUGCUCAGAGAUGGGUGUGCCUCUUUUGGGGUCGGUUCACAGGUGGUGCAUGGCUGUCGUCAGCUCGUGUCGUGAGAUGUUGGGUUAAGUCCCGCAACGAGCGCAACCCUUGUUCACUGUUGCCAGCACGUUAUGGUGGGGACUCAGUGGAGACCGCCGGGGUCAACUCGGAGGAAGGUGGGGAUGACGUCAAGUCAUCAUGCCCCUUAUGUCCAGGGCUUCACGCAUGCUACAAUGGCUGGUACAGAGAGUGGCGAGCCUGUGAGGGUGAGCGAAUCUCGGAAAGCCGGUCUCAGUUCGGAUUGGGGUCUGCAACUCGACCUCAUGAAGUCGGAGUCGCUAGUAAUCGCAGAUCAGCAACGCUGCGGUGAAUACGUUCCCGGG